AUGUCAUUCGUAGGAAAUGAUGACGAUGGAACCGGAGCUGAUGCUGACUUAUUUGAUAUUGUAGUUGGAGAUACAAAUGUGCCAGGCAUAGACGGGGAUGUCGAAAGUUGGUCUAGAUCUGGCUUGGAAGGUGCGAGUGGUGAUGCUUCAGAUAUUCCGAAGAUACCCGAAGUUGAUCCCGGAGAUGAUGAGAUUGAAUCUGAUAGUGAUAGCUGUGAUGAUGAUGAGACAUAUAUAAAUGAUGGCCAUGUUCCUCAUUUAGUACUCGACGAAUCUGAUGAUGACGAGUUUUUUGUGUAG
rnacentral:rRNA from 1 species